AGAACCUGAAACCGUGUACGUACAAGCAGUGGGAGCACCUUCGUGGUGUGACUGCGUACCUUUUGUAUAAUGGGUCAGCGACUUAUAUUCUGUAGCAAGGUUAACCGUAUAGGGGAGCCGAAGGGAAACCGAGUCUUAACUGGGCGUUAAGUUGCAGGGUAUAGACCCGAAACCCGGUGAUCUAGCCAUGGGCAGGUUGAAGGUUGGGUAACACUAACUGGAGGACCGAACCGACUAAUGUUGAAAAAUUAGCGGAUGACUUGUGGCUGGGGGUGAAAGGCCAAUCAAACCGGGAGAUAGCUGGUUCUCCCCGAAAGCUAUUUAGGUAGCGCCUCGUGAACUCAUCUUCGGGGGUAGAGCACUGUUUCGGCUAGGGGGCCAUCCCGGCUUACCAACCCGAUGCAAACUACGAAUACCGAAGAAUGUUAUCACGGGAGACACACGGCGGGUGCUAACGUCCGUCGUGAAGAGGGAAACAACCCAGACCGCCAGCUAAGGUCCCAAAGUCAUGGUUAAGUGGGAAACGAUGUGGGAAGGCACAGACAGCCAGGAUGUUGGCUUAGAAGCAGCCAUCAUUUAAAGAAAGCGUAAUAGCUCACUGGUCGAGUCGGCCUGCGCGGAAGAUGUAACGGGGCUAAACCAUGCACCGAAGCUGCGGCAGCGACGCUUAUGCGUUGUUGGGUAGGGGAGCGUUCUGUAAGCCGUUGAAGGUGGCCUGUGAGGGUUGCUGGAGGUAUCAGAAGUGCGAAUGCUGACAUAAGUAACGAUAAAGCGGGUGAAAAGCCCGCUCGCCGGAAGACCAAGGGUUCCUGUCCAACGUUAAUCGGGGCAGGGUGAGUCGACCCCUAAGGCGAGGCCGAAAGGCGUAGUCGAUGGGAAACAGGUUAAUAUUCCUGUACUUGGUGUUACUGCGAAGGGGGGACGGAGAAGGCUAUGUUAGCCGGGCGACGGUUGUCCCGGUUUAAGCAUGUAGGCGGAACGAUUAGGUAAAUCCGGUCGUUUUUUAACGCUGAGGUGUGAUGACGAGGCACUACGGUGCUGAAGUAACAAAUGCCCUGCUUCCAGGAAAAGCCUCUAAGCAUCAGGUAACAUCAAAUCGUACCCCAAACCGACACAGGUGGUCAGGUAGAGAAUACCAAGGCGCUUGAGAGAACUCGGGUGAAGGAACUAGGCAAAAUGGUGCCGUAACUUCGGGAGAAGGCACGCUGAUAUGUAGGUGAAGCCCCUGCGGGUGGAGCUGAAAUCAGUCGAAGAUACCAGCUGGCUGCAACUGUUUAUUAAAAACACAGCACUGUGCAAACACGAAAGUGGACGUAUACGGUGUGACGCCUGCCCGGUGCCGGAAGGUUAAUUGAUGGGGUUAGCGGCAACGCGAAGCUCUUGAUCGAAGCCCCGGUAAACGGCGGCCGUAACUAUAACGGUCCUAAGGUAGCGAAAUUCCUUGUCGGGUAAGUUCCGACCUGCACGAAUGGCGUAAUGAUGGCCAGGCUGUCUCCACCCGAGACUCAGUGAAAUUGAACUCGCUGUGAAGAUGCAGUGUACCCGCGGCAAGACGGAAAGACCCCGUGAACCUUUACUAUAGCUUGACACUGAACACUGGUCCUUGAUGUGUAGGAUAGGUGGGAGGCUUUGAAGCGUGGACGCCAGUCUGCGUGGAGCCGUCCUUGAAAUACCACCCUUUAAUGGCUGGUGUUCUAACGUAGACCCGUAAUCCGGGUUGCGGACAGUGUCUGGUGGGUAGUUUGACU
rnacentral:rRNA from 1 species